UUAAGAGAAUAAGAACGAAAUCUCUCAGAUCUGGAAAUCAUAUCACUAAAUUAAAAAGCAUAAAUAUAACUCAGCUUCGGCAAACUAUUAACCUACAAUUGUUUAAGUUACUAACAAUUGCGAAAAUUCACUCUCAGUUUUUUUUUUUUUUGGUUUAAUUUAGUUUAAGGUAAAUGCUUGCCGAAGAAUCUCAUGGAGCUUUUGAUUAUGGUAGAUGCUUGCCGAAGAGCUUCAAUUAAGAAAGUAACAGCUGUGAUUCCGUAUUUUGGAUAGGAAGACACAAGGGCGUGUGAUCACUGAAGCCGGUGCAGAUCGAGUUCUUGCAUGUGAUCUUCAUUCAGGACAAUCCAUGGGUUAUUUUGAUUGACAUUCCAGUCGACCAUGUGUACUGCCAGAUUUUUGGAACAAUCUGCAUUCUUUUUACUCUAUCCCGUCAACUUGCACCUGUGCUUGGUCUAUUGAUGCUAGCUGUGUCAGUGUUAGUUGGUUAACUCUAUAUGGAUCAACAGUUCCUGUUUAUAAAGCACAUGGAUUAGCUCAAGCAACAAUGUCAGAUUGUGUAUCAGAAACGUUCUCUGCAAUCCGAACUGGAAGUUAGUAACUUCAUCGUAUUUGAAAGAUCAUUUAGCGGUGCAAACGUCAGAUGUCUCUCUUCGGUAGUCAGAUUCUUGCUUACAAGCUUAGCAGCUUAAAGCUUGGUACUUUGAAAUCUAUAUAUAAAUCAAUAACAGAGUUGCAGUUUAUAUUUCUCUGUUGGCUCUUUACUGUCUUGGUGGAAGCAAGGUGAAAAGACGGGCUACCAUACACUGUUUGGUGAAAGAGGAGGCUUGCUUAGCGGAGGACAAAGACAGACAUGGGCUGCUACUGAAGGGUGUGCUAUCUCUCUGUGGCGUCCAUGAUGCAGAAGCCAAGCUAGUAUUUCUAUGUGCGUCCAAUGACAAUUCGUUGCACCUUUAUGAUUUGCCAUCAAAAGGGCAAAGUUUUAGCAGAGCAAGAGAUCCGAUUGAUCCAGAUAGGUCCCAGGGGCAUAUUUUUCACCGGUGAUGGAAGUGGUCUCGGUUAAACUAUGGAAGUGGUCUAAGGAGCCAACCACCAUUUUGUCUUGUGGCGCAAAACAGAGCCUUAGUUCCUCACCUUUGUCAAAAUCUCUUCUUCUCUGAGUGGCUAGAGUUCUUGCAAUUGUUUGUUUUGUUGUACGAGAGAUCAUUAGUAGCUAGCUAGCAUCAAUGCAUCUGUCUCUCUGGCUCCAUUAAGUCUCUGGAGUCAAGACCUGCCUCGAUAAGAUUAUAGACUACUGAUUGUAUCAACUAUAGAUUGUAUUUGUUUGAUGGCCGAGUAGAGAUAUCGUCUGAUUAUAUAAUCUUUGUCCCUCUUUGGUCGACAUUCUUUUGUCUUGUAAUAUAUAGCAAAGAUCUUUGUGGUUAUGUUUCAGUGUAAUAAAAGAGAUGAUUUAUCAAA